AGCGAACGCUGGCGGCAGGCCUAACACAUGCAAGUCGAACGGAUCCUUCGGGAUUAGUGGCGGACGGGUGAGUAACACGUGGGAACGUGCCCUUUGGUUCGGAACAACUCAGGGAAACUUGAGCUAAUACCGGAUGUGCCCUUCGGGGGAAAGAUUUAUCGCCAUUGGAGCGGCCCGCGUCUGAUUAGCUAGUUGGUGAGGUAACGGCCCACCAAGGCGACGAUCAGUAGCUGGUCUGAGAGGAUGAUCAGCCACACUGGGACUGAGACACGGCCCAGACUCCUACGGGAGGCAGCAGUGGGGAAUCUUGCGCAAUGGGCAAAAGCCUGACGCAGCCAUGCCGCGUGAAUGAUGAAGGUCUUAGGAUUGUAAAAUUCUUUCAGCGGGGACGAUAAUGACGGUACCCGCAGAAGAAGCUCCGGCUAACUUCGUG
rnacentral:rRNA from 1 species